ensembl:lncRNA
CCAACCAGGACAUUAAUACCAACAGUAAUGCCAACCAGGAUAUUAAUACCAACAGUAAUGCCAACCAGGACAUUAAUACCAACAGUAAUGCCAACAAGGACAUUAAUACCAACAGUAAUGCAAACCAGGAUAUUAAUACCAACAGUAAUGGCAACCAGGACAUUAAUACCAACAGUAAUGGCAACCAGGACAUUAAUACCAAAGGUAAUGCCAACAAGGACAUUAAUACCAACAAUAAUGCCAACCAGGACAUUAAUACCAACAGUAAUGCAAACCAGGAUAUUAAUACCAACAGUAAUGCCAACAAGGACAUUAAUACCAACAAUAAUGGCAACCAGGACAUUAAUACCAACAGUAAUGGCAACCAGGACAUUAAUACCAACAGUAAUGGCAACCAGGACAUUAAUACCAACAGUAAUGGCAACCAGGAAGUUAAUACCAAUAAUACUGGCAACCAGGAAGUUAAUACCAACAGUAAUGGCAACCAGGACAUUAAUACCAACAGUAAUGGCAACCAGGACAUUAAUACCAACAGUAAUGGCAACCAGGAAGUUAAUACCAAUAAUACUGGCAACCAGGAAGUUAAUAUCAACAGUAAUGCCAAGCAGGAAGUCAACCAGAAAGUCAUAAUAAACACUAAUGGCAAAUACACAGUUGACUACAACCAGGAAGCCACCUCCAACAUUAACACCAAACAGGAAGUGGACUCAAAUAGUGACGUCAACCAUGAAGUUGAACACUGACUCAAAUAGCAGCAAGAACCAGAAAGUCAACUUUAACAGUAUUGCCAAACAGGAAGUAGACUGCAACAGUAACACACAUUAUAAAGUGCACUCAAAUGGUCUAAUCAAACCGUAACAAAAAACACAACUCCAACAGAAAUGCUAACCAGGAAGUGAACUAGAAAUUGGACUAAAAAAGUAAUGUCAGCCAGGAAGUCGACUCAAAGAGUCAGGAGGUUGCAAAACUGUAAAUCCACCAUGCAGAUCCGUCUCGCCCGGUGAUGGUGGAACAAAAAAAAAAAAACCCUUCUGUCCUUCCACCAAUGAAACAGGAGGGCUAUUUGGUCAAGUCUUUUAUUUUCAAUUUAUUCACAGCAGUCCUUCACAGAGAUAUCUAUUUAACAACAGCUACUUCUUUACAAAUAAAUCCUGUUCGGCAUUUAUUCUGUCUGUAAAAAGAGAUUGUUCCUGACGCACUUCUAAUAAUACACCCAUGUGCUUUUCCUCUUCUGUGCACAUGCUGGGGAAAUUCACCUGGCUGUUACACGCCCAUCUGUCCCUGCAGAUAUUCCGAGCGUCUGCUCUUGAUUUGGUUAAUGAGGGGUAUUGUGCAGAGUGGAUUCAGAGGGAAGCUACUCAUAACAGGCUGGAGGAAAGCUAAUGGGGAAUGACAGUGGAGCUAAACACUCUGUGAGCACAGAAUGGCCCCUGGAUACUUUAAAGUGUGCUUGGUAUGGAAGAG